rnacentral:rRNA from 1 species
AUGGGGGAAACCCUGACGCAGCGACGCCGCGUGAGUGAGGAAGGCCUUCGGGUCGUAAAGCUCUGUCAGGUGGGAAGAAAUGUAUGGCGGCCAAUACCCGUCAUGCUUGACGGUACCACCAGAGGAAGCACCGGCAAACUCCGUGCCAGCAGCCGCGGUAAUACGGGGGGUGCAAGCGUUGUUCGGAAUUAUUGGGCGUAAAGAGCGUGUAGGCGGCUGGGUAAGUCAGAUGUGAAAGCCCUGGGCUCAACCCAGGACGUGCAUUUGAAACUGUCCGGCUUGAGUAGGGGAGAGGGAAGUGAAAUUCCUGGUGUAGAGGUGAAGUUCGUAGAUAUCAGGAGGAACACCGGUGGCGAAGGCGACUUCCUGGCCCUAUACUGACGCUGAGACGCGAGAGC